rnacentral:rRNA from 1 species
GAUGAACGCUGGCGGCGUGCCUAAUACAUGCAAGUCGAGCGGACGGACGAGAAGCUUGCUUCUCUGAUGUUAGCGGCGGACGGGUGAGUAACACGUGGAUAACCUACCUAUAAGACUGGGAUAACUUCGGGAAACCGGAGCUAAUACCGGAUAAUAUUUUGAACCGCAUGGUUCAAAAGUGAACGACGGUCUUGCUGUCACUUAUAGAUGGAUCCGCGCUGCAUUAGCUAGUUGGUAAGGUAACGGCUUACCAAGGCAACGAUGCAUAGCUGACCUGAGAGGGUGAUCGGCCACACUGGAACUGAGACACGGUCCAGACUCCUACGGGAGGCAGCAGUAGGGAAUCUUCCGCAAUGGGCGAAAGCCUGACGGAGCAACGCCGCGUGAGUGAUGAAGGUCUUCGGAUCGUAAACCGCUGUUAUUAGGGAAGAACAUAUGUGUAAGUAACUGUGCACAUCUUGACGGUACCUAAUCAGAAAGCCACGGCUAACUACGUG